CCGAAAGACUCUCGGCAACGGAUAUCUCGGCUCUUGCAUCGAUGAAGAACGUAGCGAAAUGCGAUACUUGGUGUGAAUUGCAGAAUCCCGUGAACCAUCGAGUCUUUGAACGCAAGUUGCGCCCGAAGCCAUUAGGCUGAGGGCACGCCUGCCUGGGUGUCGCC
rnacentral:rRNA from 1 species